rnacentral:rRNA from 1 species
GCAUGGCGCAUGCGUACACAGUGCAGUCGAGCGGAUGAAGGGAGCUUGCUCCUGGAUUCAGCGGCGGACGGGUGAGUAAUGCCUAGGAAUCUGCCUGGUAGUGGGGGAUAACGUCCGGAAACGGGCGCUAAUACCGCAUACGUCCUGAGGGAGAAAGUGGGGGAUCUUCGGACCUCACGCUAUCAGAUGAGCCUAGGUCGGAUUAGCUAGUUGGUGGGGUAAAGGCCUACCAAGGCGACGAUCCGUAACUGGUCUGAGAGGAUGAUCAGUCACACUGGAACUGAGACACGGUCCAGACUCCUACGGGAGGCAGCAGUGGGGAAUAUUGGACAAUGGGCGAAAGCCUGAUCCAGCCAUGCCGCGUGUGUGAAGAAGGUCUUCGGAUUGUAAAGCACUUUAAGUUGGGAGGAAGGGCAGUAAGUUAAUACCUUGCUGUUUUGACGUUACCAACAGAAUAAGCACCGGCUAACUUCGUGCCAGCAGCCGCGGUAAUACGAAGGGUGCAAGCGUUAAUCGGAAUUACUGGGCGUAAAGCGCGCGUAGGUGGUUCAGCAAGUUGGAUGUGAAAUCCCCGGGCUCAACCUG